rnacentral:rRNA from 1 species
GAUGAACGCUGGCGGCGUGCCUAAUACAUGCAAGUCGAGCGAACGGACGAGAAGCUUGCUUCUCUGAUGUUAGCGGCGGACGGGUGAGUAACACGUGGAUAACCUACCUAUAAGACUGGGAUAACUUCGGGAAACCGGAGCUAAUACCGGAUAAUAUUUUGAACCGCAUGGUUCAAAAGUGAAGGACGGUCUUGCUGUCACUUAUAGAUGGAUCCGCGCUGCAUUAGCUAGUUGGUAAGGUAACGGCUUACCAAGGCAACGAUGCAUAGCCGACCUGAGAGGGUGAUCGGCCACACUGGAACGGAGACACGGUCCAGACUCCUACGGGAGGCAGCAGUAGGGAAUCUUCCGCAAUGGGCGAAAGCCUGACGGAGCAACGCCGCGUGAGUGAUGAAGGUCUUCGGAUCGUAAAACUCUGUUAUUAGGGAAGAACAUAUGUGUAAGUAACUGUGCACAGCUUGACGGUACCUAAUCAGAAAGCCACGGCUAACUACGUG